AGAAGAAGAAGAGAGGAUUGACUAUUCUUUGAUUUGUUUUUAAUUCCCAGCACUCCCUGGUAGAGUCCUUGGUGCAUCCAAAACCUAACUCAGUGUCUCACAGAACCUAAUUUCAAUGUCUGAAGACUCUUUCCACUUUUCAUUUCUGUGAGACUAUAAUCCCAAUGUGGUGUAGUGGAUAGCAUGACAGACUAGGACUCUGGAGAACAAGGUUCGAAUUCCCACCUGGCCAUGGAAACUCACUGGGGGAGUGGAACUGGUAAAACCACUUCUUAAAUAUCUCACUUAUCUUCAAAGCCCUAUUAGGGUUGCUAUAAGUUGGUUCUGAAUUUACAGCAUAGAAAACAAACACACAUAUUAACAGUAAAUGUAAAUCCAAUGGUUUGGCAAAUAGCCACUUUUCCUUCCUCCUCCUCUUUCUGCUUCCUUUUCUCUUUGGCCUAAUGAAGACUUCUGGAAAGCUUGAAAAUUUGCACACUAUUUUAUGGCCUUCACCGUAUUUUGAUAUUUUCGUUAUUUCUAACACAGUAGCCUUUGUUUUCAGUGUUUUAAAAGAUUGCGUAUAAUGUUUUAUAUACUCCUGAUGUGCUUCAUACAGAAAGGACAAUGGCAACACUCUGCAUUCUUGAGAUAACAAGGAGGCACCUGUCACAUCUGGGACAAACUGGAGGUCUGUCUGCCCUUCCUUGGUGUAUUUUACUGCUGAUGCAAAGAAUAUCUGAGUGGAUUGUGAGGAGUGACAUAAUGGGCAAUGGCUUGGAUCCUCAGAUCUUCCAAGCCAGGUUGUGCUCAAUGGAUGUUCCCCGCAGCCCCUUGCACCCCAUGAAACCUAAUCCAGAGGGUUGUAGGACCCUUCAGAACAUCUUAAAGCAAGGGAUGGUGCAAGGGGAAAGAGGAACAGACUGUAGUGGUAGCUCACAAGGUAUAUUGAAAAUGUAAGGACAUGUGGAAAGGACAUUUGAGAUGCAAGCUCCCCCUUUGUUUCUCUCCC
rnacentral:lncRNA from 1 species